CUUUUCAUCAAUUAUGAUUUUUCUACCACUAAAUUAUAUUCCCUCUGUAUCUGGAAUCUAAACGACUAAACCCUAACCGUGCCCCACCCCAAAAGCUAAAUCUACUAUUUCUCCGAUUGAGAAAACGAAGAUGAAAUAAGAUUUCUCUUUACUGCAUGGAGGCCAAACAAAUUGCUCGCAAAAUCGCCACUCAGUCCGACUACAUUAGGCUCCGUCCAUCAAGCAGAGAUUCAAAUCCGAGUCCCACAGAUGUGCAGUGUUGUAUGAUGUAUGUUGUAAGUCCCAUAGGUACACAGCUUAUGUAAGCUACACAAAUGUUGGUUUAAGCAAAAUCACUUCUAUCAUCAGUUUAAGGACAACAACACAAGGUGGUAGAACCGAUGGAUAAUGCUACACGUAAGCCGAUUACAUGCUUUUUUUAGUUUGACCUGCUUGAACCGAUCUACCCGAAUCUUAAACUGGCCAGUUAGUUUAUUCAGGCAAAUUUAUAGAAAGAGAAUUGGAUGCUUCUUUUUAUGUUGAAGAUCACAUGAAAUCUUAACUAGAUCAGGUCGCUGAUUUUUAAAGCCAACUUACUUAGUUCUCUUGAUCCAGUCUUGACAUGUGCAAACUUUCAGCUCUAGCAACUUCCUUUCAUGCGCUACAACUUUUGAAAGUUUCUACAUUAAGCUUUAUGGGGGUGAACUUAGUAAGUGACAUAAGUUUGAUGCCAAAAUUAUGAGUGGAGAUGUUUAAAAGAGGUGGCCAUAGUCCAAAUGUUUGCUUGUUGACCUGUUCCAGUUUAGAUGUGUUAGGUCUCUAGUAUCAUCAAUGUUUUUUCUGCCUCCAAUGUUUCAUCAGUGUUCACGUCAGUUAGGAGGUACCGAAUGCGGCUACUAUGUGAUGAAGUUCAUGAAGGAGAUAGCUUACAAAUGAGUUGAAAUAUUUGACAAUGAUAAUGUUGGGAAAGGAGUAGAGGAAUACUCAGCUGCGGAUAUGUAUGGCAUUCACGAAGAUUGGUCGACUUAUGCGGUUACAUCUAUUUUUAAGUGACAAAUCGUAUUUUAGGUGUUGACGAUGUAUAUAUUGACAAACAAUUCUUUUUUUUUUGUUAACGUUAAAAUAUUUGUAGUAUACUUGACACAUGAUUAUGUAAUGGAUUGUUUUGGUA